rnacentral:rRNA from 1 species
GACAGAGGGUGCAAACGUUGUUCGGAAUUACUGGGCGUAAAGCGCGUGUAGGCGGCCCUGCAAGUCGGAUGUGAAAUCCCACGGCUCAACCGUGGAAGUGCAUUCGAAACUGCAGGGCUAGAGUCCUGGAGAGGAAGGUGGAAUGCUUGGUGUGAGAGGUGAAAUUCGUAGAUAUCAAGCGGAACACCGGUGGCGAAGGCGGCCUUCUGGACAGUGACGUG